GUACCAGAGAGGGAGGGGGGCUGUCAAGGGAGGGGCACUGGCUCAGCCGGAGCUCCCGAGGCCCCGAGGCUGGUGGCCAAGGAGAACUGUGACCCUGCCUCACAGCACGUGUCCUCCGCUCCCCUCACCUCCCAACCAUCCCUGCGGCACCAUCCCUGGGCCGACAGGCGGGGAGGGAGGGAGACCAGCUGCACCCUGGAAGAGAGGGGACCCAGAGCAGGGCCCAGGGAAUGGCCAAAGGCAGUUCAAGCGACAGAACAAACGGGCCACCCCCACGGGUCUAAGACUGUGGUCCUACACUGUGACCUUGCUGCCGCAGCUUCAUCAGGCCCUCCUGGUUUUGCCCUUCACCUUGUUGAAGACUCGGGACCACGCGUCCCCGGAAAGAGAAUUAAGGACACAGGUACCACCAGCCAAUCUGAUACUGCAGGUGCAGUCUCCUCUGAAGCCAAGAUCCACCUGUAAGCUCCACAAGCACCAGCAGGAAGCUGUCCUGCCUACAUCUGUCCCACAGGUUCCCAGGGCCUGGUUCUAGGAGGCAGACAUCUCGGCUCUGCCCUUGACCAUGAUCUGGGGCCGAGCUGAAGCAGAGGGUCCAGGUGGAGGCCCCCAGCGCCAGAGUAAUGAUCGCCCGGGGCCGGGUCUCCCGAGUCCUGUCUCCGCAGGCUUCGCACCAGGAGUGAGAGCUGUCCGGGUGCAGAAGCACCGCUGUCUUCAUGUCCCUGGAUUCGUCACAAUUCCCCAGAGAAACAGAAGCCGGGCGGCCGUGGCUUCCCGGUGGAGCCUGCAAGUCAGCGUGGAGCUUCUAGGAAGAGCCUGACGUUCUGAUAACAGACUGGAGUUGCUUAUAGGGUCAGUAUUAGUAACUGACCUGUAUUUUCUCCACUCAAGACCGCACCUCAUCUCCAGCUUUGUAUUGUAUUUUAGCCUGAAGACACCUUGGCUGUCUCCCUUCUCAUCCUGUGACAGUGUCCUGUGAAGACAAAAGUUAUGGUGGCCACUGUCCAUGAAUCGGUGACUUUGCAGGUGGGAUGAAGUAUCCGACUCUUCCCAGGUCUUUUUUUUUUUUAACUCACUGGAUCUUAGUAUAAUUACAGUUGUGCAAAAGCAUCAUCACAACCCAGUGUUACAUUUCCACUCCACACCCCCAGCCCAUCCCUCUCCCGCCCCAACCUGUCUCCUUUGGUAACCACAGUUUUUCAAAGCCUGUGAGUCAGUUUCUGUCCUGCAAAUAAGAUCACUGUAUCCUUUGUUCAUAUGCGCUGCGUAAGGGCACAUGCUGUCCACAUGUAAGUGAUAGCAUAUGGCACUGGUGUCUCACUAACUUCACUUAGCAGGAUAAUCUCUAGGUCCAUCCAUGUUGCUACAAAUGCCAUUAUUUCCUUCCUUUUAAUGGCUGAGUAAUAUUCCAUUGUGUAUAUGUACCUCAUCUUCUGGAUCCACUCCUAUGUCGAUGGACAUUUAGGUUGUUUCCAUGUCUUGGCUAUUGUAAAUCGUGCUGCAAUGAACACUGGAGUACCUGUGUCUUUUCGAGUCAUGGUUUUCUCUGGAUAGAUGCCCAGGAGUGGGACUGCUGGAUCAAAUGGUAGUUCUAUUUUUAGUUUUUUGAGGACCCUCCAUACUGUUUUCCAUAGUGGUUGCACCAAUUAACACUCCCACCAACAGUGUGUAUGUAAUAAGGUUCCCUCUUCUCCACACCCUCUCCAGCACUUACCGUUUGUAGACUUUUUGAUGAUGGCCAUUGUGACUGGUGUAAGGUGUUAGCUCAUAGUAGUUUUGAUUUGCGUUUCUCUAAUAACUAGUGACAUUGAACAUCUUUUCAUGCGCCUACUGGUCAUGUGGUUUAUGUCUUUUUUUGAGAAUUGUCUGUUUAGAGCUUCUGCCCAUUUUUUGAUGGGGUUGUUUGUGUUUUUGGUAUGGAGCUGCAAGAGGUAUUUAUAUAUUUUGGAGAUGAAUCCCCUGUCAGUCACUUCACUUGCAAAUGUUUUCUCUCAUUUUGUGGGUUGUCUUUUUGUGUUGUUUAGGGUUUCCUUUUAAUUAGAUCCUAUUUGUUUACUUGUGUUCUUAUUGUCGUUACUCUAGGAGGUGAGUCUAAGAUGUUGUUGUGGUUUAUGUCAAAGUGUUCCGCCUAUGUUUUCCUCUAAGAGUUUUAUAGUAUCUGGUCUUAUAUUUAGGUCUUUAAUCCAUUUUGAGCUUAUUUUUGUGUAUGGUAUAAGGGAAUGUUCUAAUUUCAUUCUUUUACAUGUAGCUGUCCAGUUUUCCCAGCACCACUUAUUAAAGGGACUGUCUUUUUCUCCAGUGUAUAUUCUUGCCUCUUUUGUCAAAGAUUAACUGACCAUAGGUGUCUGGGUCCCAUUGGUUAUUUUUGUUUUUAUUGUCGUUACUCUAGGAGGUGGAUGUGAGAAGAUACUGCUGUGGUUUAUGUCAGAGGGUGUUCAGGCUAUGUUUUCCUCUAAGAGUUUUAUAGUACCUGGUCUUAUAUCUAGGUCUUUAAUCCAUUUGGAGUUUAUUUUUGUGUAUGGUGUUAGGGAAUGUUCUAAUUUCAUUCUUUUCCAUGUAGCUGCCUAGUUUUUCCAGCACCACUUAUUAAAGGGCAUAUCUUUCUCCAUUGUAUAUUCUUGCCUCCUUUGUGAUAGAUCAAUUGACUGUAGGUGCAUGGGUUUAAUUCUGGGCUUUCUCUCCUGCUCCACUGAUCUGUGUUUGUGUUUUUGUGCCAAGGCCAUACUGUUUUGAUGACUGUAGCUUUGUAUAUAGUCUGAAGUCAGGGAGGCUGAUUCCUCCAACUCCAUUUUUCUUUCUCAGGAUGGCUCUGGCUAUUCUGGGUCUUCUCUGUUUCCAAACAAACUUUAAGCUAUUUUGUUCUAGUUCUGUGAUAAAUGCCGUUGGUAAUUUGGUAGGCGCUGCACUGACUCUCUAGACUGCCUUGGGUUAGUACAGUCAUUGGAAAUAAUGACUCUUCCAAUCCAAGAGCAAGGUAUGUAUCUUUCCAUCUGUUUGUGUCAUUGAUUGCUUUCAUCAGCAUCUUAUAGUUUACACAGUACAGGCCUUUUGUCUCUUUAGGCAGGUUUAUUCCUAGAU
rnacentral:lncRNA from 1 species